GGAGUUAUAGGGAGGGUUAUAUGGAGUAAUAGGAGGGGUUAUAGGGAGGGUUAUAUGGAGUAAUAGGAGGAGUUAUAGGGAGGGUUAUAUGGAGUAAUAGGAGGGGUUAUAGGAAGGGUUAUAUGGAGUAAUAGGAGGGGUUAUAGGGAGGGUUAUAUGGAGUAAUAGGAGGGGUUAUAGGGAGGGUUAUAUGGAGUAAUAGGAGG